CUGUUGGCCCUGCAGGGUGCCCAGACUUGUCUCCCAGCCUGGUGAAGAGGGACCUUUGAAGCUAGGCAGGAACGUUGUUGUAAUAAGUGAGCUCACAGCCUUGUUUUAAACAUUCAACAUUUAUGCAGCAAAGUGGCUGACGUCGCUGUUUGUAAGGCUGGUGUGAGGACAAACCAUGGCACAGUCCUUGUUCUCAGGCAUUGCAAGGUUUUAGCAAGGCAGGGAUUUGUGCUCCAUUUGUAUAUGUGUGCUGGGAAUGGCUCUCCACUUGCGAAAUGGCACUGUCACUCGCCAUAGCAUUUACCAAAUGGCAUCUUUAAGUUCUACAUGCUAGCAGGGAGGCAUCCCUACCAUGAGAAUAUUACAAAAAUAAAUCAUGGAAAUGCGUUUCUACCAGGGGAAUGCCCAGGAAUUAUUUUUUGGCCAAUGAAAUACUUGUAUGUAGCUGGCACCUUGAAUAUGAAGAUGCAUUGGAAAGGCAGCCACUCUCCAAUAAUGCAGAAGCUCUGCUUGUUUUAAGCAUCAACUGUGAUGACAUCAUUAAAAAAUCAGCAUCAUUACAACCACAAGUACCUUUUCCAUGUGAGAGCACAUAAAACAUUAUUAGUGAACUUCCGUCUCCUGACAUAUGUGUUGCACCCUCCAAAUGAGCUGGAAAGAAGGUAGAAAGUAGAGAUUUAUCAGGCAUCAAGUUCAGCCAUCCAAAUAUCACAGUCCUCGUUUUUGUUGCUAGCUGUACGCAAUUUUGAAAUGGUUUGUAAAUUUAAUUGUUGGUGUACGGAGUGUGCAGAGGCCAUGCACAAGCAACAGCACUGCUAGGAUUUGCAGCUCUGUUUCUUAGGCAAGUAGGACUAGCUCGCUUUGUUGGAAGCAAAAUCAAUCCUGAGCUGUUUCAGCAAGGUGGCAGCCAGAUAGGAUGACACUCAGUGCAGUGAACAUGCUUUCUGGGUCAGAAAUGGUAGCACUUCUGGGUCAUCAGUCACACCAGUUUAAAGCUGGAGAAAAGUUACCUGCUUGUAUUGCCUGUUGCUACUGCUUCCAAGGCUCAGGAGAUGAAAAUGGAGAAUCCUCUUCCUUUUACUGCACUUAAGUUAUGUAUAAUGAUAAUGAAUUAUGUUUUUUUUUUUUUUUUUCAGGCUGAUGGGAAUCAGCAUUCAUUUUGGGAUCUUUGCUAUUGAUGGGCAGUACUUAAGUUAGGCUUCACUAUAAAUUAAGAUUUAGAACAUGUCUUGUCCCAGUGUCCUCUUCUACUCUUUGUGGGUGUUACAACUUACCUGAAUGACUGGAUGCCACAUUAAACUGUUAUACUACACUACAGUCUAUGUCUGACUUUCUGAGGAUCUUGAACCUCACAACUAGAUCACUUUAAUCCACAGGUAUUUGUGCAAGAUUCAUUAGAUAUGGACAACAGUCUGAGGCUGGAAGAGGAAAAACUUUUGGAUGUUAGACAUUUCUAAUUCAUUCUUAGCUCUAUAUCAUAGGAACUUUUUGCUGGAAAAAGUAGGGGUUAUGAGUUGUAAAGCAAAAAUGCAGUCAAACGUGAUGUCUAUUAUUACUAUGUGAUCUUUGUGAUUAAUGCAAUGCAAUCUUCACUAUCUUUUCUUGUGCUUCUUUUAAAAGUCAAUUACCGAUACCAUCAGUGAACAAAACAACAUAGCUGAUGUUUCAGCAGCAGAUGACUGAGACAAGAUGCAACUGACUCCCCACAGGCAGUAAUUAGCAUGACUUGUGAAGUAGUAAACUACCUGCCAAUGAAAAGCAAAAAUUGUUACAAGUGAGAUUUUACAGCUAGAAAAUAUUUUAAAUAAAUUAAUAGCAGCGAUCA
rnacentral:lncRNA from 1 species